CCCUUAGAUGUUCUGGGCCGCACGCGCGCUACACUGAUGCAUUCAACGAGCCUAUCCUUGACCGACAGGUCCGGGUAAUCUUUGAAUCUGCAUCGUGACGGGGAUAGAUUAUUGCAAUUAUUAAUCUUCAACGAGGAAUGCCUAGUAGGCGCAAGUCAUCAGCUUGCGUCGAUUACGUCCCUGCCCGUUGUACACACCGCCCGUCGCUCCUACCGAUUGGGUGUGCUGGUGAAAUGUUCGGAUCGGCCGUUUGUCGCGGUUUCCGCGUCAUGUGGCUGAGAAGUUCAUUAAACCCUCCCACCUAGAGGAAGGAGAAGUCGUAACA
rnacentral:rRNA from 1 species